rnacentral:rRNA from 1 species
GACUACUGGGGUAUCUAAGCCUGUUUGCUCCCCACGCUUUCGUGCCUCAGCGUCAAAAAUUGCCCAGUUAGCUGCCUACGCCAUUGGUAUUCCUCCGAAUAUCUGCGAAUUUCACCUCUACACUCGGAAUUCUGCUAACCUCUUCAAUCUUCUAGAUUUGCAGUUUCAAAAGCAAUUCCAGGGUUAAGCCCUGGGAUUUCACUUCUGACUUGCAAAUCCGCCUACGCACGCUUUAAGCCCAGUGAUUCCGAACAACGCUUGCCCCAUUCGUAUUACCGCGGCUGCUGGCACGAAUUUAGCCGGGGCUUCUUCUGAUGUUACCGUCAUUAUCUUCGCAUCUGAAAGAGCUUUACAACCCGAAGGCCUUCAUCACUCACGCGGCAUGGCUGGAUCAGGCUUGCGCCCAUUGUCCAAUAUUCCCCACUGCUGCCCCCCGUAGG